rnacentral:rRNA from 1 species
CGCGUAGGCGGCCUGGUAAGUCUGGAGUGAAAGUCCUGCUUUUAAGGUGGGAAUUGCUUUGGAUACUGCUGGGCUUGAGUGCAGGAGAGGUAAGUGGAAUUCCCGGUGUAGCGGUGAAAUGCGUAGAGAUCGGGAGGAACACCAGUGGCGAAGGCGACUUACUGGACUGUAACUGACGCUGAGGCGCGAAAGUGUGGGGAGCAAACAG